rnacentral:tRNA from 1 species
GCCCGCUUGGCUCAGUUGGUUAGAGCGCAGGUCUCAUAAUCCUGAGGUCGCAAGUUCGAACCUUGCAGCGGGCA